rnacentral:rRNA from 1 species
GGUGUCGGCGGCACAGAAAGUCAGAAGUGAAAGUCCUGGGCUCAACCCAGGAAGUGCUUUUGAAACUUCUAAGCUUGAGUAUGGGAGAGGGAAGUAGAAUUCCUGGUGUAGUGGUGAAAUACGUAGAUAUCAGGAGGAAUACCGGAGGCGAAGGCGGCUUCCUGGCCCAAUACUGACGCUCAGACCCGAAAGCGUGGGUAGCAAACA